AGAAGAAGAAGCUGCUGCUUCUCUUAUAAUUAACACCCCUCAAAACACUAUUCAUCCCGGGCAGCUUGAAAUCUGAUAUCUUUCGCCGGAGCUCCCUGAAUGUCCGUUUGAGCUCAAACUUGACAGUCAUGUUCGGUUUUACUUAACUUAACAAGCUGACGAUCACUGAUUCAGUUUCGACCCCGUUUGGUCACUGAAAACUGUACCGAACUGCAAUCUUUAUCAGAUAGCUUUCGGAUUUUAUUUCUCACUCUAUGGGUGUCAGAAAAAUAUGAAACCUUAAAUCUAGCCUCAUAAAAAUAUUUCUGACAUCUCUGCCAAUUUUCAUAAUUUUCUGAGACUGUGCAUUUUCUGCUAAUUUAUCUGCCCCGUUUCCAACAGAAAAUUCUAAAUCUUCUGUUUUAAUUCCGAUUUCAGCACGGGUCAUUCCCAACUUAUAUUUCACUUCUCUAAAUUCAAUAAAAUAGUAUCUCAUACUAUUUUUAUUUAUUUCUAUUUUUAUAUUUAAAUCCGGUAUAUUACAUUACACCGCAACCUUACCGGAAUCAUUCAAAUGGCUCUCCAACCAAAUGGACACCGUAACCUCAUGAUUUUAGAAGUCCGGUACCUUACAUUCUCCCCUUCUUAAUAAGAGUUUCGUCCCCGAAACUCAAAUCACUCCUUAACUCGACUUAUCGAGCAAUCGGAAAUUCCAAUACACUUUCCCACCUCGGAGUGGCCUUUCACUUAUUAGAACUGUUCAAAGGCCCACCUCGGAGGAUGUGAGACUAGAUAUGCUCACAUUUGCUAUGUGCAA
rnacentral:lncRNA from 1 species